rnacentral:rRNA from 1 species
GACGAACGCUGGCGGCGUGCUUAACACAUGCAAGUCGAGCGGUAAGGCCCUUUCGGGGGUACACGAGCGGCGAACGGGUGAGUAACACGUGGGUGACCUGCCCUCAGCUCUGGGAUAAGCCUGGGAAACCGGGUCUAAUACUGGAUAUGACUCCAUGACGCAUGUUGUGGGGUGGAAGGCCUUGUGCGGCUGAGGAUGGGCCCGCGGCCUAUCAGCUUGUUGGUGGGGGAUGGCCUACCAAGGCGACGACGGGUAGCCGGCCUGAGAGGGCGACCGGCCACACUGGGACUGAGACACGGCCCAGACUCCUACGGGAGGCAGCAGUGGGGAAUCUUGCGCAAUGGGCGAAAGCCUGACGCAGCGACGCCGCGUGAGGGAUGACGGCCU